rnacentral:rRNA from 1 species
ACGGCUCAUUAUUAACACCCGUAAUCUACCCAGUUUUCGUAUCCAAAACGGAUAUCUGCGUUAAUUUUGGAGCUAAUACGUGCACCAAAGCACCGCCAGCAAUGGUAGUGCGCACAUAUUAGAUCAAGACCUAUUGGGGCAACCCACUUGAUGACUCUGAAUAUUUUUGCGGAUCGCAUGGUCUUGUACCGGCGACGUACUGGUCGAGCGGGUGCCCUAUCAACUAUUGAUGGAAGUCUAUGUGUCUUCCAUGGUUGUAACGGGUAACGGAGAAUAAGGGUUCGACUCCGGAGAGCUAGCCUUAGAAACGGCUAUCACAUCCAAGGAAGGCAGCAGGCGCGUAAAUUACCCACUCUCAAUUCGAGGAGGUAGUGACUAUCAAUAACGAGACAGAUCUCUUUGAGGUCUGUCAUUGAAAUGAGCACAACUUAAAGACUUUAACGAAGUCUAUGGGAGGGCAAGUCUGGUGCCAGCAGCCGCGGUAAUUCCAGCUCCCAACGUGUAUAUCGUCAUUGCUGCGGUUAAAAAGCUCGUAGUUGGAUCUAAGUUCAUGACUGUAGUUCUCCAUGUGAGAUACUGCUAGUCUGGACUGUUUCGCCGGUUUUCCGUAGCUUCGGCUGCGGUGACUGGUGUUGUAACUUUGAUUAAAUCAAUGUGAUUAAAACAGGCGUUUGCUUGAAUGCUUUAUCAUGGAAUAAUAGAAUAUGACUUCGGUCCAUUCUGUUGGUCUUGGGAUUGAAGUAAUGAUUAAAAGGAACAACUCGGGGGCAUCCGUAUCGCUGCGUGAG